GGGCAGCCUGUGCCGCACUCCGAGCGCCAGGAGCUCUCCAGGCUGGUCAAGAACCGCAUGAAGCACCUGGGGCUGCCCACCACGGCUAUGGUGAGCGCUGCCUCCAGCCACGCCCUGGUGCCUUUCUGUGACCAUGCCGCCUGGCCCUGCGGGGCUGGCGGAGGGCAGCGUGGGCUCCGUGACUGCGCUCUCUGCUGCUCUGGGCCUGCCUCGGUGUCCCUGUCUGUAUAGCCAGGGGCGCCGGAGCCUGCAGCCUAGGGAGGCCAUGCCCAAGGCCCCCACCAGGCACAGACCAACCUGCCUGCAGGGUCCGCAGCAUGGGGUCUCCAUCACAGGGACAGGCAGAGCCCCAGCAGGACCCCCUCUGCCCACUGCCUUUCAGGGCACGGCUGCCUCUCUUUGGCGGCAGACGCCCUCUGUGUGGCCUCCCUGGCCUUGCUCAGGGACAUGCAUGACUGGCCUGUGCCCAGGUGGCAGGAGCCUGUCCCUCUGCUUCCUGUGGAGCUGCUCCCUUCACCGAUGGGGACACAGGGGCCUGCGCCACUGUCCCCCACGUCCACCCUCUGGCCUGGCCUCCCUCGGGUUCCAAGGCAGGCCCAGCUAUGGAUCAGCCGUCUGCUUCCUGGGUCUGCCACGUGGGCCGGGCCCUCGCUGGGGCCCCAGAGGCCUGGCAUGCUGGGUGCCGGGGUGGAGGGCUCCUCUAAGGGUGACCCACAGGGCCUCCCGAGCCACAUCCCUGCCAUGCCCGAGUCAGUGUCUCUCAGGGUCCCUGCCCUCUCCCAGGGACCGGCCACCAAGGCCACUCGGAGCGGGCCCUGAGCUCGGACGCGGCAGAUGGAGAGUCCAGCCCGGCCCAGCCACCCCAGCACCAGUGCCUGCCCCGCACCCCCUGCACCCCUGUCACGCACAGAGCUCGCAGAGCAGCCCCUUCCUUUUGGCAGCUGAGUGAGCUUUCCCAAGCAGCUGUCGCUGGCCACCCCGGGGUGUGGACAACCUCCUGCACAGCUGGCCUGUGCCCCGCCACGUGGCUUGCUGACCUCUCUCCUCUCUCUCUGUCUCUGUCUGUGCCUCUCCUGUGUGUUCUUAGAGGGACGUAGCAAAUUUAACAGCCAGUGAUGUCAUGAAUCGGGUAAACCUGGGAUAUUUGCAAGAUGAGAUGAACGAUCAGCAGAACACGCUGUCCUACGUCCUCAUCAACCCUCCACCCGACACGCGGCUGGAGCCCAACGACAUUGUGUACCUCAUCCGCUCCGACCCCCUGGCCCACAUGGCCAGCAGCUCCCCGAGCCACAAGAGCAGCUGCAGCAACAAACUGUCCUCCUGCAACCCCGAGACCGUGACGAGACCCAGCUCUGAGGCUGGGACCUGGGCUGGGCCCUGAAGGGCCGCAGCAAGGAUGCAGGAGGGGCGGCCAGGCACUGCUCUGGCCACAGCCGUUCAUGGUGGCUCCUGGGACAUGGCUCCGUGGGGGUAGGCCUCGCUGCAGGCCGGAGGGGGGUCUCCACACUACCCUGGAGGCUGCCAGGAAGUGGUUUUUAAGCUGUUUUUACAAAUCUGUGACCCAUGUCUUCACAGCUGUGCCGAAACUCGUGACCAGGACCGGCCAAGGUGAAGGGGUGGGUGGCCGGGAGGGGACAGCCGGGGACUGGACACCACCAGAGUCCUCUGCCCUGCAAGGCCACAUCUGGGCGCUGCCAGAGGACAGAGGCCGGGAGGGGAAGGGCGCCCCCUGGGGCCCAGUGCAGGAAGCCCCAUGGCCCGCACAAGGGCUGCCCAGCAGGCUCAAGGCCAUCCAGGCUCCUGCAGGGCUUGGCCUGUGGCAUCUGUCGGCAACAAGGGCGCCCUCUGCUGUGGCUGAGCCCACGACUCUGCAGAAGUCAGAAGAAUUUCCUAUUUUUACACCAAGACUUCCCUCCUGCCUCUUGGGCACAGGGGCAGACAUGGCCUCUCUGUGGCCCACCCCACACUCUCCUAAAGCGAAGCCUUGUUCCUGAACGCCCGGCACAAGAAGCACAAUUCGCCCUGGGUGCUGCCUGCUGCCCUCAGCCUCCAGUCUCCUCCAGGGCAGAGGCCCAGGACCACAGUCACUGCCAGUGUCCCUGGGAUGCCCCUCGGCCAGCGCCUGGUAAUCCCUGCGCUCUGCAGGCUGCAUGUUCCAAGGCAGCUGCCCAGGGGACUUGGGGCUCUGGGCCCAGGGGCUGGAGGACACCGGGGCUCACUUGUUUCACUUAAAAAUGCCCGCCAUGGUCCCCACGACCUAGGCCCGGCCAACACGGCGCUCCAAACUGUGGGCAUCAAACCCUGUGUGGCAGAUUGGCAGCUUGGCUGAGGCGGGUGCCCAGUGUCCAGGAGGUUCCCUGGGGCGGGAGACCCAGGCCUGAGGGUGGGCGCGGCUCCUCGGACCCACAGCUGCUGGGGACCUGUCCACUGGGGGGCAGGGCUGUGUACCUCACCUGUGUCCAUUUUGGGUACCCCAAGAGGCUGGGGUGGAAGGGAAGGGCAAGCAGCUCAGGGACAGCAGGGCCCUUCCGGGGACACGCCCCUCCCCACCGGGACACGCCCCCUGGGCGGGACACGCCCCCGGCCAGGACACGCCCAGGGCCAGACUGCCUUCCACAGCACCGGACACAGCUUGUGCCCCUAUCCUGGCCUGCCUGGUGCCUGCUCAGAAAGUGCCUAGAGGUCCUAAGUGCAGCAUUCUUGGGGACAGAAGGACAGGCAGAGAGGGGCCCUGUGGCAUCAGGACGAGGAAGCCCUUGGCCUUGAAGUGGCAAGCACCCAGCCUGGGCAGGGGAGGCCAGCCCUGUCCUGGCUGGGCUCCAGCCUCCUGCACUGGAGCAGGCCGAGCUUGCCUUGCCCAGGCGGCUCAGUGCCCUCGGCCGCGCCUCCUGCACCCAGGCUCCAGCCCCCUGUGCAGCCACCUGCCUGGCUGUGGGACCCCCUGGAAGGGCUGCUGUCCCUGGGUGGCACCUGGGGGGACGUCCUCCGCCUCGGGUUUGGGCUACAGCACGUGGCCAAGUGCGGCAGCAUCCUCCUAGUCUCUGGCAGGGCCGGGUCUGCCUCCCACAGGUGUGCGUGCCCAGGAUCUCGGCUGCUGAGGGUGUCAGGCCCUGGACAGGGUACCCUGCUCUGCCAGAACACACGGGGGCAGUGCUUGGGGUGCCCCCGCACUGGGCCAGGGGUCGCUGUCCUGAGACGUUGGUCACCAGCCCAAUAAAAGCUGCCUGUGCAUCUGGAAGCUUUGUGCUCC
rnacentral:lncRNA from 1 species